rnacentral:rRNA from 1 species
UGAGGAACAUGACCUUCGGCGGGGGAUAGCCGGCCCAACGGCCGGGUAAUACCGCGUACGACCACAUGGGGACAUCCCCGAGUGGUGAAAGCAGCAAUGCGCCGAUGGAGUGCCUCGCGGCCUAUCAGCUAGUUGGUGAGGUAACGGCUCACCAAGGCAACGAUGCGUAGCCGACCUGAGAGGGUGAUCGGCCACAUUGGAACUGAGACACGGUCCAGACUCCUAGGAGG